UUCCUUCCGUUUCCCGGGGUCGGGCGGAAGCAGGGACUGAUACAAUGGAUAUAGAGCUGCUUAAAUAGAUGCAGAUGUGAAUGACAGAUAUCACUCAAACUGCGCACUUCUACGAGCACAAAGAAAAGAUACAGGGUGGCUGGGUUCCUAACCCCUGCAGUCUGAGAGCCGCAGUCUAAGAGCCCCAAUUUGAGCACUCUGGGCUCAAAUGAAAAGUGAAGUGAAGAUGGUCCCUCAACCUCUCCAGAGCGCUCAGGUGGCAGAGGCUCUUUAGCAACU